rnacentral:lncRNA from 1 species
ACACAAAGCUUUUCUCCCAAACCAAACACCUGAGUUCUCAGCCAAUUUCUUGCAAACUUAAUCUCGUCCUUCCCAAGAAAUACAGAGUAAAAAUUGUAAAGUCUUGAGAACCAAACAACAAGAAGAUUUUGGAAGUCAAGGAUCUCUCGAUUCUUGAUGUUGUAUGUGUUUUGUACAAUAUAACCCUUAGUGUUACUUUGGCUCGAAUCAUGGAACGAAAUGACGGACAAAGUUCGUUGUUUAGAUCAUACAUUAGCACAUGCUAAAAAUGAAAAGCAGUGGCCAUAAAAAGAAGAAGAAUAGUUGCUAUAUCUUUAUUAAUCUUAUAGACUAAACAGAACAAAUUGAAAAUGUUAAAAGAAACAAAAAGUGAAGAAACAUCUGAUUCCAAAGAAUAUUUAUGUUAAUGUUGGGUGGCUAACCAGAAAUAUAUAUUAGAUGCUCACUAAACAAGUCAGGUUCUGAUCCUUCAUUUACAAGACAUUUGGUGUUUGAACCAAAGUCAGGUUCUGAUCCUUCAUUUACAAGACAUUUGGUGUUUAAACCAAACUGGGCUGUUCACACAAAGCUUUUCUCCCAAACCAAACACCUGAGUUCUCAGUUCAAUUCAUUUCUUGCAAACUUAAUCUCGUCCUUCCCAAGAAAUACAGAGUAAAAAAUUUAAGUCUUGAGAAACAAUCAAGAAGAAGAAGAAUUUGGAAGUCAAGGAUCUCCCGAUUCUUGAUGGAAGGAUCGAGGUUUACAUUAUCUAGGAAGUUUUUGGCCAUCAGCUUGUCAGUACUAGCCGUGCUCUCACCGCUCUACAUAGAUAGUUCAUCAGACGACGAUCAAGAACCUGAAGACGAACCCUUGAGCUUUUUCUUUACCCUCUCCUUGCUUCUGCUAUUCUUGAUCAUGGCCAUUGCCUUGUCUCUGUACUGUGACCAGAGCUUGACCAGGUUUGAUCCCUAUUGGAUUCACAGGCUUUGUGGCUCCUUUGGUGGCCUUCUUGCGAUCCUCAUCCUUCUCGCUUUUGUCUUGAAAUGUAAAAGCUUCUGCUUAGAACAUAACACAAAGACAGUAAAAAACUUCAGAUUUAUUAAUUAAAGAAGAUGGAAACAUUGUCAAGCAUCAAGCAUUCAGACCAAAAAUUAUAAAAAUUAAAUUAUAAUGUGGGGUACAGUUAUAAUUAUACCCUAUGUUGCAUGGAAACUCUCUUCGAGGUCCGUUUCCCGUUUUCGAAACGUUUCGGAAACGGAAACUCUUCGGAAACACCAAAAACGUCACGGAAACGCGUUUCCUAAAAAUUUAUGUUUGGAAACACGAUGGAAACUCACGUUUCUAAAUGGAAACGCGACAAAUCCUUUUUAUUGACUUUGGAAAUUUAAUAAAUAAAAGUUGAAAAGAUUAAGAUUUAUAAUACAUAUAACUAAUUUUAGAAAACUCUGAGUUUUAAGAUCUUUUUAUCGACAAACUAGAUUUGGAGGCAUCUUUAUAUGAUCUACGAUGAAACUAAUGAAAAUGAGAAUGAAAAUGUUGGUCUAAAUUAAAUAUUUGAACUUGAACCUUUUAAUCUUUUUUCUUUUAGAA